UACGGAGGGGGCUAGCGUUGUUCGGAAUUACUGGGCGUAAAGCGCACGUAGGCGGACUCUUAAGUCAGGGGUGAAAUCCUGGAGCUCAACUCCAGAACUGCCUUUGAUACUGGGAGUCUUGAGUUCGGGAGAGGUGAGUGGAACUGCGAGUGUAGAGGUGAAAUUCGUAGAUAUUCGCAAGAACACCAGUGGCGAAGGCGGCUCACUGGCCCGAUACUGACGCUGAGGUGCGAAAGCGUGGGGAGCGAACGGG
rnacentral:rRNA from 1 species